CAAGAUCAAGUAGACCACUCCGACCCUCCCGAAGCUUCUCCGAAGUGAUACAUCGAUUCCUACUACUGAUCUGCCGAAGUAUCCCACCUCCGAGGUCGGGAUCAGGUGGACCCCGGUUAGAAGAUCCGCCGCCAAUUUAAGAUUUGUUCUGCAUAUAAGGUUUAAAUUGAUUUGACGUCCCCAUGAGGCUAUUUGAUGUGA
rnacentral:lncRNA from 1 species